UCUAACUGGGUACUAAAAUUACCAGACACACUAUGGGCAUAUAGGACAGCCUAUAAAACACCAAUAGGAAUGUCACCAUUCAGGUUAAUAUAUGGAAAAGCAUGCCAUCUACCCGUUGAACUUGAACACAAAGCUCAAUGGGCACUAAGGAAACUCAAUAUGGACCUUGAUGCAGCAGGAAAAUAUAGAAAACUUCAACUUUGUGAAAUGGAAGAACUGAGAGCUGACUCUUACGAGAGUGCAAGAAUUUACAAAGAAAAGACCAAGAUCUGGCAUGACAAGCAUAUAUUGAGGAAAGAAUUUCAU
rnacentral:rRNA from 1 species